GGCCCGUUGGUCAAGCGGUUAAGACACCGCCCUUUCACGGCGGUAACACGGGUUCAAUUCCCGUACGGGUCA
rnacentral:tRNA from 1 species